rnacentral:rRNA from 1 species
GACGAACGCUGGCGGCGUGCUUAACACAUGCAAGUCGAACGAGAAUCUACUGAAAGAGUUUUCGGACAAUGGAUGUAGAGGAAAGUGGCGGACGGGUGAGUAACGCGUGAGGAACCUGCCUUGAAGAGGGGGACAACAGUUGGAAACGACUGCUAAUACCGCAUGACGCAUAGAGGUCGCAUGAUCUUUAUGCCAAAGAUUUAUCGCUUCAAGAUGGCCUCGCGUCUGAUUAGCUGGUUGGCGGGGUAACGGCCCACCAAGGCGACGAUCAGUAGCCGGACUGAGAGGUUGAACGGCCACAUUGGGACUGAGAUACGGCCCAGACUCCUACGGGAGGCAGCAGUGGGGAAUAUUGGGCAAUGGGCGCAAGCCUGACCCAGCAACGCCGCGUGAAGGAAGAAGGCUUUCGGGUUGUAAACUUCUUUUAAGAGGGAAGAGCAGAAGACGGUACCUCUAGAAUAAGCCACGGCUAACUACGUG